rnacentral:lncRNA from 1 species
CUCCAGGCAUCGCAUCACAUGCUUCAGGCAUUGGGUUCUGCAACUCCUCAGCUGUUGUUCCAUCCUCUGGAAAGGUGUCACCGUGUUGAUUUAUAAACAUAAGGAACCAAACGCCUCUUGCAGACCUGCUGGGAGCUGUGAAGCAUGGAAUUAGCUACAGUCCCCAUCUCCGGGGCAUCUCCGGCAUCAGCAGAGGGAGGAUAUUAACCUGAAAUGAGACAUUUUUCACUUCACUUGAAUCUCUUCUAAACGUACCAGACAAUCUGGCCUCAGUACUCAGGGAGAAGGAUGGCACCCGACUGCCUCCAUCACCAAGGAGCAGUCAGAAGACGGCAGCAAAUCACGUGCAGCACUGUACAAAUUCUGGAGGUACCCUAUCCAGCAAAAAUUGCUGUAAUUUUCCACCACUGCUACAUCAUCAAAGUGCUUCAGAGAUCCUGUUGGGUUGAAAAGCUCCUUAUCGCCUCAACACUGCCCCAGCCCCAAAAGGAUUUUGGCCAGCUCUAACAUCUUGCCAGUUGUGGGCACAGAGGUGAGCGUGACUGCUCCGAGGUCACACAGACAACCUGCGGCCAAGGCAAGAGUAAAUCCACGUCUCCGGCACCAAAGGCCAUGUCACAACCAAACCCAACUUUUCUCUCUGAUCUUGCUUCUUUCUUGUUCACAUAAAUAUUUGCAUGGCUUGAAUCAAACCACAUUGCAUUUUUUCCCCUUAGGAAAAACAACAAGUACUUAAAAUAUUUCUGUACCUCUCUCCUCCUUUUCAAGGGUUUGGUGGGUGGAAUAUAUUUUUAUUUUUCCUGGCAAAGAAGAAAAGAAGGAGAAGGUCAGA